GGCUAACCUGCCCUUGGGACGAGAACAACCCCGGGAAACUGGGGCUAAUUCGCGAUAGGCGAAGAACUCUGGAAUGAGUCUUCACCUAAAAGACACUGCGUUAUGCUCGUAGUGUCGCCCAAGGAUGGGGCCGCGACCGAUCAGGUUGUUGGUGAGGUAAUGGCUCACCAAGCCUUUUACCGGUGCGGGCCGUGGGAGCGGGGGCCCGGAGAUGGGCACUGAGACAAGGGCCCAGGCCCUACGGGGCGCAGCAGUCGCGAAAACUUUGCAAUAAGCGAAAGCUUGACAGGGCUAUCCCGAGUGCCAUCCGCUGAGGAAGGCUUUUACCCAGUCUAGAACGCUGGGGGAAUAAGGAGAGGGCAAGUCUGGUGUCAGCCGCCGCGGUAAUACCAGCUCUCCGAGUGGUGUGGAUGUUUAUUGGGCCUAAAGCAUCCGUAGCUGGCUAGGUUAGUCCCCUGUUAAAUCCACCGAAUUAAUCGUUGGAUUGCGGGGGAUACUGCUUGGCUAGGGGACGAGAGAGGCAGACGGUAUUUCCGGGGCAGGGGUGAAAUCCUAUAAUCCCGGGAAGACCACCAGUGGCGAAGGCUGUCUGCUAGAACGCGCCCGACGGUGAGGGAUGAAAGCUGGGGGAGCGAACCGGAUUAGAUACCCGGGUAGUCCCAGCUGUAAACGAUGCAGACUAGGUGUUUGGACGGCCACGUGCCGUUCUAGUGCCGCAGGGAAGCUGUUAAGUCUGCCGCCUGGGGAGUACGAUCGCAAGAUUGAAACU
rnacentral:rRNA from 1 species